rnacentral:lncRNA from 1 species
AUUGCUUAUUGCUCUCUUUCCAUGCCUUUGCAAUUAGUGCUGUUCCUCCCGCAUCCUUCAUUAAACUAGAGCCCUGAGCACAGAGGAAAGAGUGGGAAAGGGAAAUUUAUGGGGCACAGAACUUGACCCCAGUGCUUCUGCUUCACUCCUCAUGCAGCUCACAGCCACUCACCUGGCAUUAGGCUAACAUUACAGAUUGUUUUGCAGCUUGAGUGACAACUCUUCCAGUUCAAUCUGAGCAUCCAAUAUAAUGCCAUGCUGGUGCCAGGCAACGUGUUACAGUGUGUCAUACCUUGCACUUCCUUUGGAUCGGUUUCUGUUCUCUGGAAUGUCUCAGCAAAGUGGAGCUGUUGUUUCAGCGGCUCUAUCAGCUGCUGUUGAUGAAGAAGAUCUUAGCUGUGCUACUGUUGGUCUAUUUUGAAGGUUUGCCGAGGAGGUGUGAGAGCCACAUCACCCAGUGGGACAGCCAUCACUGCUGCAUGAAUCCACCAGAGGUAGACAGUGUGGCUGUUCAUAUUCUUGGAGGAGAACAAAGAACAUGUAGAGACCUUUGUACAGAAGCAUAUAGCUGUAAAAGCCAAAAACCAAAAAUUCCAUAUGGAUUGCAGUAGUAAGGUAUUUUUCUCCAGUUUCAACUGUUAAGGGAAGCUCCUACUGAAUAUUCAAGAUACAGAGAAUUUGCCUCUGGCAGUGAAAAAACAGCUGAGUGAAAAUGCUGGAAAAGCAGGUGCUCUGCAGUACGUGUGAUACCUUAUGUCUAGAUGCAUCUGGUUUUGUAGGUAGAUAUUUGCAUGCAUUUUUCCUGUCAUAUGCCUAAUUAUCUGUUUUAUCUGCUAAGAGUAUGCAGAGAAUUUGGCCUAAUGCAUGGUAGAUUUUUCUGGGUUAUGUUACUAGCCUUACUGAAACAUUGCUGCAGUGGAACUGGUAUGAUUUGUGGGAUGAUGUAAGGAGUUGGAACUACUUAAGUGAUAACUG